ACGCCCAGCUGAUUUUUUGUAUUUUUAGUAGAGACGGGGUUUUGCCAUGUUGGCCAGGCUGGUCUCGAACUCCUGACCUCAGGUGAUCCACCCAUUUUGGCCUCCCAAAGUACUGGGAUUACAGGCGUGAGCACCCGUGCCCGGCCACACCAUUAUUUUGAAGAGAAAAUUUGAUAAAAAUAAUUGGUCAGUUGUAAAAAUGGUUAACUACCCAACUGGUAAGAGAGAUUUCUAAGAGUUACAGAAUAGCAACUGCAGGAAGGAACUUGUGCCCUUAGGACUGAGGAAGUAAAAAGGAAGGAAACUUGGAAACACGGAAGAGCCCUUCCCCUUUCAAUUCAAGGUGGAGACUGGACCUCAGAAGAGGGAGUGGGUGCCCCGAGAACUCACAGCUAGUGGACAGCGGAAAGGGCAGGAGCCGGACCAAGGUGAGGACAGCGGAACUGAAGGCCGCUGGUUACCUCUCCUGCCCUCUGCUGGCCACAGUGGAGAAGACAGCCCCUCCCUCCUGCUCUGACCUGACAGUGUUCAUCCAUCGCCCUGUAUUAGCGAAGAACAACAUCAAGCUGGCUAGCAAGGAACUGUAUACAGGGUCCAGCUGGGUAUCACACUGGAUCUCACCCAAAGCUGAGAUGUGAUCCAGCUCCGUAUCACAAAGCAGAACGAAAAGGAUGUGUUUGGGCUGAGAGGCCAUACAUUGGCUCCGGCACGACGGGUGGCUUCUGCAGCACACAGGGCUUCGCCAGCACCCAGCUCCUGCAGCAUGGGCAGCUCCUGUGACAGCAGGCGCCCACAGCCUGCAAAGCGUCUCCAGUGCCGCCGCCUCAGUGAACCGCAACCAGCGGCACCUAGCAGCUUUCUCCGCCACCCUCUUCAGGUAGUUCUGUAGCAGCGCGUUUCUCAUGAGACACUUCCCUGUGAGCAGCUUUUUCUACCCUUGAGGAUGGAUUUCCAGCAAAUUCUGCCCAUGUGGUACCACAGCCACUUCUCUGCCAUUCAGUGAAACUGCCGUUGUGCCCUCUUCAAGGUCUGGAUCUAAGCCCAGGGACCAGGAAACCUCUUGCUUGAGUGCUGGAACUCAGGCCAGAAGGCAGGAAGCCCGCCUGACCCCACGUCUCAGGCUGCCAGAGGAGCGUGCGAUGAGGAAGGCUGGACUGUCUUCACAGGACACCAGAGAGAAGCCUCAAGCCACUGCCCCCUGACAAGUCUCAGCUCUCCAGCCUGUCUCCUCACUCCCCUCCCCUCCACAUGGGGGGGUUGGGGUGGGGGCGGGGAAGGUUCGGGGCAGGGGUCAUUUCAGCUACUGGGCACCAGUCUCCUCCUCAUGUUUAUCCUGUUCCCUUUGCUUGAAAGGUUCGUACUCCAGAUCCUUGUAAAACCGCUUCUCACCCUUUGAGUCUCAGCUUAAAUGUCCCCUCCUUGGAGGGGUCUUCCCUGACAAUGAAGCUCCGACCGUCCUCUCCUGUUUUACCCAGUUCAUUUCUUUCUGGCAUUUGUAACUACUUGAAGUUAAAGUGUGUGCCAUGUAUGUGUCUGUCAGUUUCCCCCACCACACUGGAACCCCAUGAGGGCAAGGGUCUUG
rnacentral:lncRNA from 1 species